GAUGAACGCUGGCGGCGUGCCUAAUACAUACAAGUCGAGCGAACAGACGAGGAGCUUGCUCCUCUGACGUUAGCGGCGGACGGGUGAGUAACACGUGGAUAACCUACCUAUAAGACUGGGAUAACUUCGGGAAACCGGAGCUAAUACCGGAUAAUAUAUUGAACCGCAUGGUUCAAUAGUGAAAGACGGUUUUGCUGUCACUUAUAGAUGGAUCCGCGCCGCAUUAGCUAGUUGGUAAGGUAACGGCUUACCAAGGCAACGAUGCGUAGCCGACCUGAGAGGGUGAUCGGCCACACUGGAACUGAGACACGGUCCAGACUCCUACGGGAGGCAGCAGUAGGGAAUCUUCGGCAAGGGGCGAAAGCCUGACGGAGCAACGCCGCGGGAGUGAUGAAGGUCUUCGGAUCGUAAAACUCUGUUAUUAGGGAAGAACAAAUGUGUAAGUAACUAUGCACGUCUUGACGGUACCUAAUCAGAAAGCCACGGCUAACUACGUG
rnacentral:rRNA from 1 species